rnacentral:tRNA from 1 species
CGGAAUAUAGGCUAGUCUGGCAAGUCACCUCGUUUGGGACGAGGAUACCGCAGGUUCGAGUCCUGCUAUUCCGACCA